AGAGUGGGGAAGAUACUCUGAAUCGGCGGGGCGUUUUUGUGAGGAUAGUUUCAGGGAAGAAUUUGCGGGGCAGACCACGCACAUAGCAACGAGGAGAGUGCAUCUGCAAGGCCGUGCCAAGAGGGAGCGUUCACCUUGUCGCGAGGAAAGGCCUUUUGAUGGAUCAUGGAGCGUGGCAGCGCGGACCUUAAGGCUCCCCGCGCUUUCAACUCCUCCGCGGAAACUCCCAGACGGGUAGGCGCCUCGAGGCACAAAGUGCUCAGCGCUUGACGCGGUUUGUGCGUGGGGACUAUUUUGUAGCCGUCAGCGCGUGGAAGAGGGACGGAAAGAAAGAAAUGGAAGAAGGAAGAGAAGAAAGAGAAGAACAAUUCAGAGAGAAAGGAUUCGAGAAAGGGGAGAUUUGGCGGGCUUCAACUCUUCCAUUUGCGAGAGUGCCUUCGAAGCCGAUCCUUUUCGUCGAACCAGAUUUGAGGGCACCGAGGCGUUAGCGAAGAAACGUUUUCUCGGAAACUUGUCCGACACACACACCGCCGGUCACUUGCAACCGUCCUGCUCUUCUCACCAAUGUAGAUAUGUAUGUAUAUAUAUAUAUAUACAUAUAUAUGUAUAUAUAUAUAUAUAUAUAUAUGUAUAUGUAUAUGUAUAUAUAUAUAUAUUGUAAGGCACGUUUGCUUACUCUAUCUGCAUACCAUUAGUGUGCACGGAAGUAUCUUCGCCUUUCUCCUCUCUGCCUGUGUUCAUUUAACAGCCUAGGGAGUCUAUCUCUCCUCGCUCCAUUUCGCUGCUCCUCCAAGUCGAGAAGUAUGUAUCUGGUCUCCUUCAACCAAGUGGGGAAGUGCGUGGCGAAACGGCGGGAAGCCCCAGGGGCCCUCUGGUCUCCCUCGUUCUCUCGUCUUACAUUAAAAGCUCUUGCCGCGUGCGGAAAUCCGCGCUUUUUCGCGGUGUUCGGCCACUCCAGCGCGGCGCCGUUUCAAGUGUACAGACUCGUCGAUGGCAUGCCUUGGAAUCAAGAUUCACGUCUCAGGUGUUUGCUUGACACACACGGCACGGCUUCUUUAGAGCACAAUGGAAACAGCGGGGUUCCGGGAGCAAUAUCUCCAGAGUGGACGCAUACGCGCGGCAAAACCCAAUCUGUCUGGGCCUCUAAACUUUCUUCAUGGCUCGUCCUGCAAAUGCACCUUUGUUCCGUCUCGUGGCACUGCACACAUCUUUCGCUUUUCUCCCUCCCAUCUCCUGUACCCUCUUCUUUCCAGCCUCCUGUCACCUCUCACUUUUGUGCGUGGCGUUUGGCUCUCGGACUUUAAUCUCUUUACACUUUUCUCCCUCCGUUGACAUCCUCGUUCUUUGCGAGCACAGCGCAAGCUGCGCACAUUUUCUCUCCCUCUCUCCCCUUCCCCACGUUUGCCCGCGUUAGUGGAUGUCUCUUUCUUGUUUAUCUGUGGAAAUCUACGGCUUUAUGGAUAUUUGCCUAUAGACAUGCAUGCGAACAUACAGAUAGACGCGCGCAUGGCA
rnacentral:lncRNA from 1 species